UACAGAGGGGGCAAGCGUUGUUCGGAAUUACUGGGCGUAAAGGGCGCGUAGGCGGCCUUCUAAGUCGAACGUGAAAUCCCCGGGCUCAACCCGGGAACUGCGUCCGAUACUGGAAGGCUUGAAUCCGGGAGAGGGAUGCGGAAUUCCAGGUGUAGCGGUGAAAUGCGUAGAUAUCUGGAGGAACACCGGUGGCGAAGGCAGAUCUCUGGGCCGUAACUGACGCUGAGGAGCGAAAGUGUGGGGAGCGAACAGG
rnacentral:rRNA from 1 species